AACUGAACGCGUUUGGUUGACAGA
rnacentral:siRNA from 1 species